AGAUUGAACGCUGGCGGCAGGCCUAACACAUGCAAGUCGAGCGGUAGAGAGGUGCUUGCACCUCUUGAGAGCGGCGGACGGGUGAGUAAUGCCUAGGAAUCUGCCUAGUGGUGGGGGAUAACGUUCGGAAACGGACGCUAAUACCGCAUACGUCCUACGGGAGAAAGCGGGGGACCUUCGGGCCUCGCGCCAUUAGAUGAGCCUAGGUCGGAUUAGCUAGUUGGUGAGGUAAUGGCUCACCAAGGCGACGGAUCCGUAACUGGUCUGAGAGGAUGAUCAGUCACACUGGAACUGAGACACGGUCCAGACUCCUACGGGAGGCAGCAGUGGGGAAUAUUGGACAAUGGCGAAAGCCUGAUCCAGCCAUGCCGCGUGUGUGAAGAAGGUCUUCGGAUUAGUAAAGACACUUUAAGUUGGGAGGUAAGGGUUGUAAACGUUAAGUACGUUUAGCUAAACUUUGUACGUUACCGACAGGAAAUAAGCACCGGCUAACUUCGCGCCAGCAAGCCGACGGUUAAC
rnacentral:rRNA from 1 species